rnacentral:rRNA from 1 species
UACGUAGGGUGCGAGCGUUGUCCGGAAUCACUGGGCGUAAAGGGCGCGUAGGCGGCAUGCCAAGCGUGUGGCGAAAGCCCGGGGCUCAACCCCGGGUCGGCCGUGCGGACUGGCGUGCUCGAGCACUGUAGGGGCGGGUGGAAUUCCGGGUGUAGGCGGUGGGAAUGCGUAGAGAUCCGGAAGAACACCGGUGGCGAAGGCGGCCCGCUGGGCAGGAAGACACCGCAAGGUGUCGGCUGACGCUGAGGCGCGACAGCGUGGGGAGCAAACAGG